UUAUUUUGGGUUAAAUGAAUCAUCUCUACAAUACUACUAUACUAGCUGCAAAUGCAAAGGCAAUUCUGCAUAGUUUUGGUAAUUUACUCAUUCGUUCAUUGGGACAGUAUUUAUUAAACCAUGCAUUGAUUCUUCAUUCAAUACAGGUAAUGUGGUCACUUAUUUUAAUAAUCCCACAGCUAAAUAGGAAACUAACUCACUUUUACAAUAAAAUGUAGUAAACACAAUAAUAGAAAUAUGUAAGGACAAUUAAUUCAAUCUAAACUGUAGACAAACUUCCAGAAGAAAUUAACUGAGUAAAGGAAAUAGUGGAAAGCAUUCAUUUCAGUGAAAAAUAUUAUGAUUAAAUGAAAAACGAUUAAAGGCACAGCAGUUUAUUCUUGCAAGGUAGUGUGUAGUAUGAAGUCAAAAGCUAAAAUUGCUGGGGUUAGUAUAAAGGGGUUGUCAUGGCAGAGAGCUUGGGUUUUAUCUUAACAGUCAAUUAAGAGACAUCAAAAUUUUGGGCAUAAGAAUGAAUUGCUUGUGAUUGCAAGACGUAUAGAACGGAGGUUGUCUGACUGAAGGCAGAAGCACAUAGUAAGCAUUAUUUCCAGAAACUCUGGAAAUAGAAGAUAAGGUCUCAAAUCAAGAUAACAAUAAAUGAUAUAUGGACAAGGCAAAUAAAUUAGAGAACUAGUUGGAGCAUAACAUUUUUCAGAAAUAUCUUAUUACAUGCAAAGACAGUAAAAGAUGUGACAUUAAUGAUGUCUGCAUUCUUAGCUUGGGUGACUGAAUGAUGCUAUUGCUAUUGUUAGGGAAAUUUGAAGACACUGGUAAUAGUAAUGUCUACUGCAUGGUCACAAGAUGGUAAGGAAAACAUAACCAAUCAUAAUUUUAAAAUUACUUUAUUCAGUUAAAUGAAUUAUUCAUUUAAAUUAAUAAUCACAGACACACACACAACUUGUUUCAUAUGAAAUCUACUAGAAAUUGAUGCCAUUAUGUGUCUCACUUGGUUUACAAAUAGGUUAGAAUGAUUUUAGCAAAAUAGAAAGGCUUGUGGGGCAAAUUCUCUCAGUUCAUUACUUAACAGUACUACCUAUCAGCCUUUUCUAGGUUGGCAAAGCACGUCUCCAAAAUCAGAACCUAAAAUUUCCAGCUACUCACUCUCUAAUUAUCUCUUUCUUCAAAGUUAGUCAUGAGAUUUUGGGCAAUGAAAAGUAAUGAUCCUCUGAGUUGGGUAAGGGAGACUACUGGUAAAGAUUUUCCUCUCAGAUAAAAACAGACACCUAAGAACUCUCUCAACAGUUUGCUAUACCCUUCUUUUACUCCUUUGUACAUUAUUAUAUAAGGACAUUAUUUUCUAGCUUUUGUAGCCCCUUACAGUUCAUGAGUAAAGAUAUGAACACUAUUAUAUAGGUGGCAAAACAAAAAGAAGAGAACUCUGUCCUUGAGAGUAUCAUUGAGCCUCUAAUCUAAUCCCUUAAAUGCUUCCUGCAGACUUGUAGGCUUCCUGCAGACAUAGGCUAACUCAAGGUCAUCCUUGGUUAAGCCAUUGCAAAUCAGGCAUUCUUUCAACUUUUUGCUGAAAGUAUUCUAGUUGAUACAGCAAGUAAACAUAACACCAAGGAGCCUUAACUCAGUGUAGUAUAAAUAAAAAAAAAUUAAUGAUUUCUAAAUGUUACAUUCAACCCUAAUGUGUUGAAUCUCUGUUUAAUAUCCUUUAGAAGUAUCUAAGGCAGAUUGAUAGUUCUGCUGUCACUUAGAGUAGUUACAAAGUUCAGUUGAGUUCAGCAUAAAACUUCCAUUUUCUAUUUACUUUACACCUACUCAUCUCAUUCUACCCUCAUCUCCCUCAUCCACCAGUCCAAAUACAGUUCAGACUUUGAGAAGUACUAGUGAUGGGGAGUUCGGUGAAAUAGACUGAUCUUUCACUCUUUUUCUCUUUCCAACAGUUUGGAGGUGGGGCCUGGAAGAGGAACUUUAUUAAAUGAGCAAAGAUAUUUUUCCUUAGCUGGGUUUGUAAAUGUGACCCUGCAUUCAUUUAUGCUACCAUCUCUCUGUUAAUAACCUUUAGGGAGGAAGAAUGUUUUUUUCAGGGUGCCUUAGGGGGUUUCACUCCACUGCAAGGAAGGCAGCUUUGCCAACAGCAAUUUUUGGGUGUGUAAAAUAAAAAUAUAUGUGGACUUAGAUAAACAGAGUUUAAUCAGAAAGACCAUUACAAUAGGGAGAACCAUUUGAACUCAGGGGAAGGGGAAGUAUCUCAAAAUCAAACAGAAAAAUACUUUCUUUAUAGGAAAGCAUAAGCAAUAAAUAAGUAGUCAGGCAAAGGAGGGGAAAUGAUGAGUGGCAUCUGACAGGAAAAGUCUCCAGCUGUCAUCAGUCAGUUCUCAGGACAGCUGAUAAGGUGAUAUGUUCUGCUUUUUAGUGCAUGUUCAAGUUUGGGGCAAGCGGAGUUAGGAAUUCUGUAGGGACAGAGAAGCCUGAUUCUAAAGUUUGGUUAAGAGAAACCAGAGGGUAGGAAAUGAGUGACUUUGAGCAUUUGGUCAGGUGAGAUUGUGGUGAGGCACAUGGAACUAGUGGUUUGGUUAGCUCUCUACCACUUUAUGACCUUUGUCUGAAGUAAUUAUAAAUAGUCCAUUUUACUCAUAACAUUGACUCAUUUAGGACAACAUAUUACAUAUUUAUCCGAGAUUUAGCAAGGUUGCUCAUGCCUGGCUACCAACUACUCUGCCUACUUGAUUCAAAGGAAACAUACAAUCUUGCCAAAGCAGAUUCUGGAAAUAAACUCAGACUCACUGAAGCCCUUGAACUCCAACCUGCCAUUUCCGCUCAAAUCGUCCUUUCCCUGAUCUAACACGAACAUGGCUGGACAGUAAUUUUGCUUCAUAAGUAGGCACACAUGUAACUCAAGAACAGCAAAAUUAUACACCCUUAUCAUCAAUUCCUCCAAUUUUUUUUGUGUGUGUGUUUGUGUGUCUUUGAGAGUUUUUUGUUUGUUUGCUUAUUUGGCACCCUACUCGUUUGAAGAACUCCAAAUGUUCUCCUCUCCUUCUUUCUCUAGAAUUCUAUGCAUACAAUGGUAGAAGGAUGUAUGAAGAUGGAGAGAGCAUUUCUGGAUAACAGAGUUGGCCUAACUGCUUCUUAUCCAUUCAGGAGGCUUGAACAACAAACCAAACCCUCAAAUAGGCAGGAUAAGUUAAGAAGAAAGCAAAGCAAAUAGUAUCUUCAAGGGAUGUCCAUUUGUCAGCCAUUAGCAGGAGAUAACCAGCUGCUAAAUAAACCCAAAUGCCUCCUUAUAUUCUUCAGGAACCCACUGGGGAAGGACUGCAACAAACUAUUCAAGAAGCAAAGAGCAGACUCGGCACCAGCAACUGAAUGAGGCAACCUAUCAGGUAACUAUGAACAUCCUGAGUGGUAUAAAUUUACAAAAGGUUUCUAAAUUUAUGAUGGUGAAUAGAAAAGAUCCCAGUGGCCAAAUCCAAUCCAAUUAGGAUAAAAACACUUUUCCUCCUUAACUGCCAGCUUUUGUAUGAAAAUUGCUUCUUCUAGAACUCAGUCAAUUAAAAAAUGUCUGCUAGCUGAGUUUGCCCAGCAGGAGGCUAAAGGGCCUAUUAUGCUGACAGAUGCUCCCUGCUUUAAGUUGGUACAGAAUUUAGAUGACUUUUAUUUUCUGCUUACACCCAUUUAAACUGAAUUAAUAUGAAAAAGUAAAAUCAAAAUUUUGCCAUUAAAAACUUUUACCUUUCUAGCAAUAUAUUAAAUGAUUGCAGAUGUCACUGGUAAUCUAUAUUUGUGGUAAGAUGUGAAGUUAUAUUUUUAAAGUUUUAUAUUUAUAAAUUGUAAGAAAAAAUGUUAAUAGUUAAUGUGUUACAAAUUUGUAUUUUGCACAGUUAUGACAAAUAUAUCACUUUUGCAUUAUUGGUAUGACGAGCAGAUGAAGUGGAUGCACAGGUAUAAUUACAUUCAGCUAAUCUGUGAGGAAAAAUAAUUUUACUUACUUAGUUCAUUAAUUCUUGUUUAGACAUUGAGUGGUGGACUCAGGACUAUUUUCCCAGAUGAUUUUUCUACUAGUUCAGAGUUCAUUAAAUGAAGUUCUGCAGUCAUUCCAUAAAUUCAAGUGAAAUGAUAAUAUUUCCUAAAUAAACUAUAACGUGCAUGUAUAUAUUGGAGUUCUCAUUGUUAUCAAGGAUUGAAUUCACAUAUAAAUUCAUUUUUCUUACAAUUUUUUUUUAUGUAUUUAUUUUGAGACAGAAUCUUGCUUUGUUGCCAGGCUGGAAUACAGUACUGUGAUCUCUGCUCACUACAGCCUCAACAUCCUUGGCUCAAGCAAUCCUCCUGCCUCAGACUCCUAAGUAGCUGGGGCCACAGGUGUGAGCACCACACCCAGCUAAUUUUCUGAUUUUUUGUAGAGAUGAGGUGUCGCUAUGUUGCCCAGUCUGGUUCAAACUCCUGGGCUCAAACAGUCCUCACCUUGGCCUUCCAAAGUGCUGAGAUAACAGGCAUGAGCUGCCACCCCGGCCUUAUUUAUUAACUGAAAGUCUAUUUCUUGAAUUAUGUAUUGAUCAAUCUAAUUAUCUAUUUAGAGCUUUCAAGCAGCAUAACUGGCUGAAUUAGACAAAACAAUGAUGUAAUAUAUUAGUUUCACUGUGUCUAUUUAGUCUAUUAAAAUUUAAAAGAGUGGAAGGCUGGGUGCAGUGGCUCAUGCUGUAAUCUUAACUUUGGGAGACUGAGGCAGGAGAAUUGCUUGAGAACAAGAGUUCAAGAACCAGCCUGGGCAAAAAGCAAGACACUGUGUCUAAAAAAAAAG
rnacentral:lncRNA from 1 species